ACGAAGGGGGCUAGCGUUGUUCGGAUUUACUGGGCGUAAAGCGCACGUAGGCGGAUCGAUCAGUCAGGGGUGAAAUCCCAGGGCUCAACCCUGGAACUGCCUUUGAUACUGUCGAUCUGGAGUAUGGAAGAGGUGAGUGGAAUUCCGAGUGUAGAGGUGAAAUUCGUAGAUAUUCGGCGGAACACCAGUGGCGAAGGCGACUCACUGGCCCGAUACUGACGCUGAGGCGCGAAAGCGUGGGGAGCAAACAGGA
rnacentral:rRNA from 1 species